UACGAAGGGGGCUAGCGUUGCUCGGAAUCACUGGGCGUAAAGCGCACGUAGGCGGCUUGCUAAGUCAGGGGUGAAAUCCCGGAGCUCAACUCCGGAACUGCCUUUGAUACUGGCGAUCUUGAGUCCGGGAGAGGUGAGUGGAACUGCGAGUGUAGAGGUGAAAUUCGUAGAUAUUCGCAAGAACACCAGUGGCGAAGGCGGCUCACUGGCCCGGUACUGACGCUGAGGUGCGAAAGCGUGGGGAGCAAACAGG
rnacentral:rRNA from 1 species